CCUACGGGUGACAGCAGUGAGGAAUAUUGGUCAAUGGACGAGAGUCUGAACCAGCCAAGUAGCGUGAAGGAUGACUGCCCUAUGGGUUGUAAACUUCUUUUAUAUGGGAAUAAAAUGUUCCACGUGUGGGAUUUUGUAUGUACCAUAUGAAUAAGGAUCGGCUAACUCCGUGCCAGCAGCCGCGGUAAUACGGAGGAUCCGAGCGUUAUCCGGAUUUAUUGGGUUUAAAGGGAGCGUAGGUGGAUUGUUAAGUCAGUUGUGAAAGUUUGCGGCUCAACCGUAAAAUUGCAGUUGAAACUGGCAGUCUUGAGUACAGUAGAGGUGGGCGGAAUUCGUGGUGUAGCGGUGAAAUGCUUAGAUAUCACGAAGAACUCCGAUUGCGUAGGCAGUUCACUGGACUGCAACUGACACUGAGGCUCGAAAGUGUGGGUAUCAAACAGGAUUAGAUACCCUAGUAGUC
rnacentral:rRNA from 1 species